ACUCAAGGGCCUGACACUCUUUGAUAGAGAAAGAUAGUCUUAUUGCGAUUCCUAUAAGAGGAAAGAGAAAAUAGUGCAAUGCUUUGUCUUUAUCACCGACCGGGUUUUUUUUCAUGGUCGGGUUAUGGCAGCUUAGGAAGGAGGGUGAUGGCGAUAUACAGAAAUUUAUAAGAGUGAAAGAGACAAAAUCCCGCAAGAUGCCAUACAUUAAACUGUCAAUCAUAUUGUCAAGAGUGCUAGUAAACAACGUGGUUUUCUUAUUGUAGAAGUUUUAUAAAGUGAAUGAUUGUGUUUAUUAAGUAUUUAAUGGAGGUGUAAGAAGUUUUUACGUACAAUUAACAUGGUGGGGUGUUCAGUGGUUGCCUACAAAAGCAAUAACUUGCGAAAAUAAGCGGGUGUAACAUUUCAUGCCUCUCCGACGGAGGAUGAAAUUGUUAAAGAAUGGAUUGCGGGAACUGGAAAAUCAAAUUGGAUGCUUCACAAAUACUCGCGUAUUUGUUCCAAACAUUUUGAACAACAUUGUGUCCGCAAACUGGGCAAACGAACUUUCAUCGAAAAGUUUUCUUUUCCAACCUUGUUCAUACACGAGAGGAGAGAGAAAAUUCUUUUCUUCAUCAUGUCAUGGAAAUCGUCCAUUCGUGCACGUCGUCGUCGUGGCAGUCUCAACAGCAUUCUGAAGCUAUUAUUGAACUUCAUAUAAUUGAUCCACAGGUUACAAGUGUACUUAUGUGUAAAUA